rnacentral:rRNA from 1 species
GAUGAACGCUAGCGGGAGGCUUAAUACAUGCAAGUCGAGGGGUAACAGGGCUUCGGCCGCUGACGACCGGCGCACGGGUGAGUAACGCGUACGCAAUCUACCUCCAAGAGGGGCAUAGCCCCGGGAAACUGGGAUUAAUACCGCAUAGUAUUGCAUUGCUGCAUGGUAAUGUAAUUAAAACUUUGGUGCUUGGAGAUGAGCGUGCGUCCUAUUAGCUAGUUGGUAAGGUAACGGCUUACCAAGGCAACGAUAGGUAGGGGGCGUGAGAGCGUGACCCCCCACACGGGUACUGAGACACGGACCCGACUCCUACGGGAGGCAGCAGUAAGGAAUAUUGGACAAUGGGCGAAAGCCUGAUCCAGCUAUCCCGCGUGCAGGAUGACUGCCCUAUGGGUUGUAAACUGCUUUUAUAAGGGAAGAAACGAAUUCAUUUAUGAGUUCCUGACGGUACCUUAUGAAUAAGCACCGGCUAACUCCG